GGCUGGUCUGAGUGCAGUGAUAUUUACAGCUAAUUGAUCACAACCAGUCACAGAUUCCUUUGUUCCUUCUCCACUCCCACUGCUUCACUUGACUAGCCUAAA
ensembl:misc_RNA Y_RNA Y RNA